UACGUAGGUGGCAAGCGUUGUCCGGAAUUAUUGGGCGUAAAGCGCGCGCAGGUGGUUUCUUAAGUCUGAUGUGAAAGCCCACGGCUCAACCGUGGAGGGUCAUUGGAAACUGGGGAACUUGAGUGCAGGAGAGAAGAGUGGAAUUCCACGUGUAGCGGUGAAAUGCGUAGAGAUGUGGAGGAACACCAGUGGCGAAGGCGACAUCCUGGACCGACACUGACGCUGAGGAGCGAAAGCCAGGGGAGCAAACGGG
rnacentral:rRNA from 1 species